ACGGAGGAUCCGAGCGUUAUCCGGAUUUAUUGGGUUUAAAGGGUGCGUAGGUGGCCUGUUAAGUCAGUGGUGAAAGCUCCCAGCUCAACUGGGAAACUGCCAUUGAUACUGAUAGUCUUGAGUAUGAUUGAAGUGGGCGGAAUGUGUCAUGUAGCGGUGAAAUGCUUAGAUAUGACACAGAACACCGAUUGCGAAGGCAGCUCACUAAGCCAUAACUGACGCUGAUGCACGAAAGCGUGGGGAGCAAACAGGA
rnacentral:rRNA from 1 species